AUGUUUGUCUAUAUUAGACAAAGUCCUUCCCAGUCCCCUUUGAUUCCCAUUUUUUAUCGGAUCAGGAGGGGAAAUUUCCCCAAUUUUUGUCCCCAAUUUUUCCCCAUUUUUUUCCCCAAUUUUUCUCCAUUUUUUCCCCAAUUUUUCCCCAUUUUUUCCCCAUUUUUUCCCCAAUUUUUCCCCAAUUUUCCCCAUUUUUCCCCCUUCAAUUUUCCCCCAUUUUUCCCCAUUUUUUCCCCAUUUUUCCCCCAUUUUUCCCCCAUUUUCCCCAUUUUUUCUCCAUUUUUCUCCAUUUUUUCUCCAUUUUUUCCCCCCAAUUUUUCCCCAUUUUUCCCCAAUUUUUCCCCAUUUUCCCCAAUUUUUCCCCAAUUUUCCCCAAUUUUUCCCCAUUUUUUCCCCAUUUUCCCCAUUUUUCCCCAAUUUUUCCCCAAUUUUUCCCCAAUUUUCCCCAUUUUUUCUCCAUUUUUUCCCCAAUUUUCCCCAAUUUUUCCCCAUUUUUUCCCCAUUUUUUCUCCAUUUUUUCCCCAAUUUUCCCCAAUUUUUCCCCAUUUUUCCCCCAAUUUUUCCCCAUUUUUCCCCAUUUUUCCCCAUUUUUUCCCCAUUUUUCUCCAUUUUUUCCCCCAUUUUUCCCCAUUUUUCCCCAUUUUUCCCCAAUUUUUCCCCAAUUUUUCCCCAUUUUUCCCCAUUUUUCCCCAUUUUUUCUCCAUUUUUUCCCCAAUUUUUCCCCAUUUUUUCUCCAUUUUUUCCCCAAUUUUUCCCCAAUUUUCCCCAUUUUUUCCCCAAUUUCCCCCCAUUUUUUUCCCCCAUUUCCCCCCAUUUUUUUCCCCAAUUUUUCCCCAAUUUCCCCCAUUUUUUCCCCAUUUUUCCCCAAUUUUUCCCCAAUUUUCCCCAAUUUUUCCCCAUUUUUUCUCCAUUUUUUCCCCAUUUUUUCUCCUUUUUUUCCCCAAUUUUUCCCCAUUUUUUCCCCAAUUUCCCCCCAUUUUUCCCCAAUUUUUUCCUCAAUUUUUUCCCAAUAUUCCCAAUUUUUUUACCCCAUUUCCCCCCCCCCCCAGAACGGAAUAUUUAUGA
rnacentral:lncRNA from 1 species